GGUUAAGCGACUAAGCGUACACGGUGGAUGCCCUGGCAGUCAGAGGCGAUGAAGGACGUGCUAAUCUGCGAAAAGCGCCGGCGAGGUGAUAUGAACCCUUGACCCGGCGAUGUCCGAAUGGGGAAACCCAGUGCAAUCCGUUGCACUAUCGUUAACUGAAUACAUAGGUUAACGAGGCGAACCGGGGGAACUGAAACAUCUAAGUACCCCGAGGAAAAGAAAUCAACCGAGAUUCCCCCAGUAGCGGCGAGCGAACGGGGAGCAGCCCAGAGUCUGAAUCAGCUUGUGUGUUAGUGGAAGCGUCUGGAAAGUCGCACGGUACAGGGUGAAAGUCCCGUACACGAAAAUGCACAGGCUGUGAACUCGAAGAGUAGGGCGGGACACGUGGUAUCCUGUCUGAAUAUGGGGGGACCAUCCUCCAAGGCUAAAUACUCCUGACUGACCGAUAGUGAACCAGUACCGUGAGGGAAAGGCGAAAAGAACCCCGGCGAGGGGAGUGAAAAAGAACCUGAAACCGUGUACGUACAAGCAGUGGGAGCACCUUCGUGGUGUGACUGCGUACCUUUUGUAUAAUGGGUCAGCGACUUAUAUUCUGUAGCAAGGUUAACCGUAUAGGGGAGCCGAAGGGAAACCGAGUCUUAACUGGGCGUUAAGUUGCAGGGUAUAGACCCGAAACCCGGUGAUCUAGCCAUGGGCAGGUUGAAGGUUGGGUAACACUAACUGGAGGACCGAACCGACUAAUGUUGAAAAAUUAGCGGAUGACCUGUGGCUGGGGGUGAAAGGCCAAUCAAACCGGGAGAUAGCUGGUUCUCCCCGAAAGCUAUUUAGGUAGCGCCUCGUGAACUCAUCUUCGGGGGUAGAGCACUGUUUCGGCUAGGGGGCCAUCCCGGCUUACCAACCCGAUGCAAACUACGAAUACCGAAGAAUGUUAUCACGGGAGACACACGGCGGGUGCUAACGUCCGUCGUGAAGAGGGAAACAACCCAGACCGCCAGCUAAGGUCCCAAAGUCAUGGUUAAGUGGGAAACGAUGUGGGAAGGCCCAGACAGCCAGGAUGUUGGCUUAGAAGCAGCCAUCAUUUAAAGAAAGCGUAAUAGCUCACUGGUCGAGUCGGCCUGCGCGGAAGAUGUAACGGGGCUAAACCAUGCACCGAAGCUGCGGCAGCGACACUCUGUGUUGUUGGGUAGGGGAGCGUUCUGUAAGCCGUUGAAGGUGGCCUGUGAGGGUUGCUGGAGGUAUCAGAAGUGCGAAUGCUGACAUAAGUAACGAUAAAGCGGGUGAAAAGCCCGCUCGCCGGAAGACCAAGGGUUCCUGUCCAACGUUAAUCGGGGCAGGGUGAGUCGACCCCUAAGGCGAGGCCGAAAGGCGUAGUCGAUGGGAAACAGGUUAAUAUUCCUGUACUUGGUGUUACUGCGAAGGGGGGACGGAGAAGGCUAUGUUAGCCGGGCGACGGUUGUCCCGGUUUAAGCAUGUAGGCGGAGGUUCCAGGUAAAUCCGGUACCUUUUAACGCUGAGGUGUGAUGACGAGGCACUACGGUGCUGAAGUAACAAAUGCCCUGCUUCCAGGAAAAGCCUCUAAGCAUCAGGUAACACGAAAUCGUACCCCAAACCGACACAGGUGGUCAGGUAGAGAAUACCAAGGCGCUUGAGAGAACUCGGGUGAAGGAACUAGGCAAAAUGGUGCCGUAACUUCGGGAGAAGGCACGCUGAUAUGUAGGUGAAGCCCCUGCGGGUGGAGCUGAAAUCAGUCGAAGAUACCAGCUGGCUGCAACUGUUUAUUAAAAACACAGCACUGUGCAAACACGAAAGUGGACGUAUACGGUGUGACGCCUGCCCGGUGCCGGAAGGUUAAUUGAUGGGGUUAGCGGUAACGCGAAGCUCUUGAUCGAAGCCCCGGUAAACGGCGGCCGUAACUAUAACGGUCCUAAGGUAGCGAAAUUCCUUGUCGGGUAAGUUCCGACCUGCACGAAUGGCGUAAUGAUGGCCAGGCUGUCUCCACCCGAGACUCAGUGAAAUUGAACUCGCUGUGAAGAUGCAGUGUACCCGCGGCAAGACGGAAAGACCCCGUGAACCUUUACUAUAGCUUGACACUGAACACUGGUCCUUGAUGUGUAGGAUAGGUGGGAGGCUUUGAAGCGUGGACGCCAGUCUGCGUGGAGCCG
rnacentral:rRNA from 1 species